UCAGGUCGCCGGACGGUCGCGGCAGCAGAUGCUGACGAGGAACGUCCGGGCUCCGCAGAGCACGGCGGUGGGUAACGCCCACCCGGGGCAACUCGCGGGACAGUGCCACAGAAAGCAGACCGCCGGCCAGUGGCCGGUAAGGGUGAAAGGGUGGUGUAAGAGACCACCGGGUGCCAGGUGACUGGGAUCGCACGGUAAACCCCGCCGGGAGCAAGAUCGCACAGACAGCGCCUGACGGCUGCUCGCUGAAGCUGUCGGGUGGAUCGCUUGAGGGCAUCGGCAACGGUGCUCCUAGACAGAUGACCGUCACGCAGACCGGGGUGACCCGCCUGCGGACAGAACCCGGCGUACAGGCGGCCUGACCUC
rnacentral:RNase_P_RNA from 1 species